AGCAGCCGCGGUAAUUCCAGCUCCAAUAGCGUAUAUUAAAGUUGUUGCAGUUAAAAAGCUCGUAGUUGAAUUUCGGGAUCUGUCCAUUGGUCGGGCCUCACGGUCCGUACUGGUGUGAUGGGUUCCUACCUUCUGAAUAACCAGCAUGCCAUUUAGUUGGUGCGCCGGGGAAGCAGAGCUGUUACCUUGAAAAAUUAGAGUGCUUAAAGCAGGCUAUUUGCUUGAAUAGAUUAGCAUGGAAUAAUAAAAUAGGACGGCAUGGUUCUAUUUUGUUGGUUUCUAGGAUCACCGUAAUGAUUAAUAGGGAUAGUUGGGGCAUUAGUAUUCAAUUGUCAGAGGUGAAAUUCUUGGAUUUAUUGAAGAC
rnacentral:rRNA from 1 species